UUUAUGAUUAAGAGGAAUGAGGAUUAUCGAUUAAACUAACGUUCUUCAGUAUUGAACCCUUAGAAUUAAAGGUCAAAUGAAGAAAGAGGUUUCCUUACCCUGGGAGUUGUUUUCUUCUCUUUCACUGGAAGUUUUCCUUUUCUAUUAUGUUCCUUGACAUUUUAGAGUUUUUUAUUUGACUGCUACUCUUGAUGUUAGUGUGGGGAGAUUUGCCAUUAAAUAAUAAAUUAUUGUCCAUUUAGCUUUAGCAGUUUUAUACAUCGUUUCACUGCAGAAUUUAACCUAAAUCUAGUUGUAAAUAACAUAGAGUUAACUACUGGCAUUUGUAAAGAAUUUUUUGUUUCUGUGGCUGAGAACUUAUUUGCAGAUGUGACUUCUCCUAGAGAACUGAGUACUGCAGUUGUGAUUUUUAUUUUAAUAUAUUCUCCAUAAUACCUAAAAAUCUGUUACUCAAUACAGAGUGUUUCCUAAAAUACUUGUACAGUAUUCUUCCCCUAUCUCAGAAUGCAACAUGAGAUGCUUGGCGGCCAAUUGUAAUGGGAAAUCUAUAAAUCAACAGAGAAAGACAUAAGACACAAGAAUUUGGACUUGGAAAAUAUUUUGUGUUCUGAAAAGUACGUUUCUAAAAGAUGGAAAUUAAAAUCACAAAGGAUUUUUCUUAAUUUGCCUAUAACAGACUGCGUUCAGACCAGUGAGAUAAAGGAAUUAGAAAAAAAAUACUGUUCAUCAGGAAAAAGUCACAUUCUCUGGGUGAAACUCCUAUUUUGUUACACAGUCUUUGUGUAAGUAUGCUCUAUGUUGCCAAAGUAAUGGGGUAGAGAAGUUGUCUUAAUUUGUCUUUGUAGGUUGCCAGGCAUACCGUGACCUCUACAGUCAAUGGUUUGACAACAUAAAGACUCUGGCUCCAUUCCUUGCAUGUUGACCAGUACAGCUGAGCAGUAACUAGUUUAGUUUGUUGCUGGGAUGGGCUAGCAACAUGCUAUGAUAAUCUCUUUCUUUUCCACCUGUCUUCAAGAAAAGUCACAGUGCAUUUCAAAACAGCUUAUUCUAGAGAAGUUAGUCCUUUGGGGCUAGAAUUUUUCAGCCUGUCUCUUCAUGCAUCUUUCCAUGAGCACUAUCAACAGCAGCCAUGAAGGAAAAGAACAACAUUCAUGAAAAACUGAUUUCACUUCACUUUGAUCUUAGUAGAGCUGGUAAUGGUGAAUGAUUUGGCAAAGCUUACUGUCUAUCUGUGUCUAAUACACAACAGUAGCCUGCACAGAAAGGAUACUUAUAACCUGUCCAGUCUCCUGAAUUCAAUGUUUUCAUGAAGUUUAUAAGAAUUAAGUGUGAGCACAUUGUGAAUGAUCUAUUUUAAAUACAUUCCACAAUUAAUAGCUACAAAGCCUAAAGGUGUAUCUGUAGAAAACACUGAUUUCCUGUCCUGGUUCCAGCUGGGACAGAGUUAACCUUCUUCUCCAUAGCAUAGCAGGUGCAGCUGUGCUGUGGCUGUGCUGUGCGAGCAAUGCUGACAGCACACGGGUGGGUUUGGCUGUGCCCGGGUGGUGUCUAUCCUCAGUCAGGGACUUCUCAGUGUCUCAGGCCCGGCCAGCGAGAGGGCUGGGGGGGCACGGGGAGCUGGGAGGGGACACAGCCGGGACAGCUGGCCCAGGCUGCCCAAAGGGAUAUUCCAUACCGUAGAACAUCACACCGAGUAUACAAACUGGGGGAAGGUGGCCGGGGCCUGUGGGUCACUGCGCAGAGACUGGCUCUGCAUUGGUCAGCCAGUGGUGCGCAAUUGUACUGUGCAUCACUUGUUUUGUAUUUUCUCUUCCUUUUGGAUUUAAUUCCUCACCCCUUCUCCCUCCUUUUCAUUAUAGCUGUUGUUGUUAUUAUUAUUGUUGUUGUUGUUGUUAUUGUGGUUUUAUAUUAUUUCAAUAAUUAAAUUAUUCUUAUCUGAACCCUUGAGUUUUACAUUCCUUUCCGAUUCUCCUCUCCAUCCUUCUGGGUGAUGGGGGAGUCAGCGAGCGGCUGUGUGGUGCUGAGUUGCUGGCUGGGGUUAAACAUUUCCCCAGAACAGGAUUCCUUCAUCCCCAGAUUUAAUUCCUAUUUAUUCUGCUAGUGCUCAUCAACUCUGCCUACAGCUAUUCAAGCUAUUAAUUAGAUAGAUUUCACACAAACAUAUGCUCUUGCAUGUACCAGGAUUUUUCCUGCUUUAAUCAUAACAAUAAGCAGAAAACAAAGGACAAAAUAGAAGUUCUGCAGAGAGGAAUGGAAGGCUUUAUCUGAUCUGCAAUGCAUAAAUUUGGUCUCAAAGUACAUGACAGGUAGGUAAGUGUCAGGUGCUACUAGGUGCAGAAUUGUUGUCUUUCUAACUGAGGUCUUUUCUUGUUGGUUGAAAACAUAAGGAAGAUUUACCACUGAAUUUAACAUCUUGUUCCACCUUCGAAGCCUUGGCUUCAGUUCUGCUGCUUAUGGUCUACACAGACAGCUGAUACCCAUCUAGUGCACUAAGGCUUGGCAAUGUUUGUGAGGAACUUGCAUUGCAUUUUAAUAUCUCUGAUCCCUCAGUCAUGAAUGAGGCAGCAUUUGAAUGAAGCUGUUCAUGACAUUUUAACUGAUAUCUCUUCAUACAGAACAACAUCUCACAGCUGCAGGUGCUCUGACAAACAGGCUAUACUGACAGUCAGUAGCAUAUCUCAGUCACUAUUCAGGAUUCAUACCCGCAGGAAGAACUGCUGUAAUUUGAAAACAGCCAGUUUAGCUUUGGUCAGGAUCUAUGUUUAGUUCAUUAUCAGUUUCCUAUAUUCUCUGAGAAUAAAUAAAGCUUUGCAUACGUGACGAUUAAGCUUUUCUUGAAUUGUAUCUGUACUCCAGUGAGGGCUGCUAACAUUUAUGAUUCUUUUUCAUGAUUUUUUGUAUAUGUCCAAUAGAUACAUAAACAUACUAUAUGCAUAUAUAUACUCUAUGUUAACAGCAGUAAAUUUAGCUUUUUGGAAAACAGAUAUGUUAUGCUAAGACUGAAAAUAACACGUAACAGUAAAAAGUCACUGACAAUGUAGGUAGAAAUUGGGAUCUAUUUUACUUUGUUUUAACAGCAUAGUGAGAAAAUCUACUGAAAUUUAUAGCUCUGUUUUUUAUAGGCCAAGUGCCUGCAGGUCUUGUUGAUUACUUCUGGGGUGGAUAUUCAGCACUCCUGAAAACCUGGCUUUGAGUGGCUUCCACAGAUAUCUUUAAAAUAGCCAUUGCUUGUUUGGCAAGAACAUGAAUAUGAGCAAAGUAUUGGCCAUCAGCUCAUAGAUCCCCGAAGAAAACAUUCUGUUAUGUAUUGUCCUAUAAUUCUGCAGGAGCUGUUAAUGAACAAACACUACUCCUUCCAGACCUCUGCUGUUAUCACUGAUGAUGCUUUUGCACAAAUGGAUUUUGGUGUGCUAAGGAGCUAUGUAAAUUGAAGAUCUUUUUUGAAACAAGAGUAGUUUAGUUUCUCCCAGUCUUAAUUUUGUUUCCUUCCAGGCUGCUUGCCUUAACUGUAUAAAAAAACCCCAAACAACAAACAUAAUUAAGAUAAACUUACUUAAAUGGUGUGUGCAUGGAAAGGAAAGCAAAAUUGGAAGGGAAAUACUGUCUGAAACUUUUAAUCAGAAUGUAUCAAAAUUGUAUCAAAGUCAGUAUAUAUUAUGUCUGAUUUGAAGACCAUUAAAAUCUAUGACAUAUUUCUGGGUCACAUAUACAAAGCAUACUGCCUUACACUAGAUUAUGUUAUCCCUUCUUUCAGUGGAAAUGAAAUUUUGGAUUUCCUUUUAGAAGAAUACUGACAGGGGAAAAUCUUUAGUCUGUCAUAUCUCUGCUAAUGGCUAUAAAUCCAAAUCUAAGGUGAGACACUUCAGAUAUGCUAGUUAUAACUCGUUAAAUUUGCAGGGAAGGAGGGUGACCUUUCAAAAGGGCAUGGAAAACAGGAAUAAUUUCAAUGCACUGUGGAAGAGGCUCAUUGCCGUGCAUGUUUGGGCUGCAAUUACAGAGAUUUUUUUCCAAUGGUUCCCAUAAUUCUUUUUUCUGACUGCCAGACUGGCACAUGAAAUCUGCACUCAGGCUUUCUGCUGGAAAGCACACAGGAACAGCGCAGCCCUGUAGUAUGAGGCCAGCCAUGUGAAUCGUGAAGCUCAAGAAACGUUCAGCAGCUAGGGAAUGCUGUCUGCAUGCUGAAUUGUACAUGAAGAAUAGGUGGGUUUGGCCUAGUUUUAGUUUCACCUUCUGCCUCUGAUGUUACCCCUGCAAGCCACCAUCAAAGUUCUCUGUGCUUUGACAUUUGGGAUUUUAGAGCAGAUUUCUUCUGAUGAAGUUUGACUAAGGAGCGUUCCCUCAUUGCAGUCCAGUUUUUCAUGUUACAAGAUGGGAAGUGAAAUGUUGCCAAUCACUAGAGCGCACAGCAUGGCUUUCUUGUUGAAUUUCGCUAGCUUGGUUUUGGCUACAAGGUGAAGCUCAGAUCUACUGUUUCCUCCUGCCUUUAAGAAUAGGUAUCUGUGUAGGUAGAUACCUAUAUAGGUAUGCAGAUAUAGCAAUAGGUACUGCAACUGCAUUGGCUCUUAGUUGAAAUGCAUUCAGUAGAAAAUUCUACAGGGGACAAGAAAAGCUUUCCGGUGACAUGAUAGACGUAGAAGCCCUUUAACAUUUUACACCCCUUUCUGUUUGCUUGUUUAAAAGGGAUUAAUCUUGUGUUUCACCCUCAAGGAGAAGGUCACUCAACACAAACUCUUUGGUUUGAAAGAAACUUCAAGGGAAUGAAGUAGCACCAGAGAUAAUCUGUAGAUUUGAGGAAUCACAGUUAAAAGUGUCUCCUGAUGAUCACUGCUGGCAAUGAAGGCAAACGGUGUACACAGCCGUGACUGAAAGAUACGAAUGACUGGCAGUAGCGCUGCUCUGUAGAGCGGAUCAUAUGCUUUUACCAGGCUUACUGACAAUGGCUUGCUGCAACAAGCUGUUUGUACUGCAGCAUGUAGCCUGCCGGCUGUCAUCUUCAUGUAUUCACACUGACACUUCAAGGUCAUCUAGAAGCUGAAGUAAGAGUUCAAACAUUUAUCCUGUGAGACACUAUUUAAGUGAGCUAACCUAUUUAAGUUAAAUAGGUUACAGUUUUAAUGGCUAUUUUCCCAGAGCUGCUGUACAGAGGCAGGUCUAAAGAGGCUUUCUAGGUUACCAGUUUCUUCAGUUUUUAGCAGUAUCCACUGUUACACAAAGGCAAUGCUGCGUCUCAAGCAAGGAGAAUUUGUCAAAAGAGAAUUUUCCCCUCCCCAUCACUGCCUGAAAUAUUUAAAGAUGCCCUCUCUGUGAAUGCAAUAGUCAUUUGCUCACUUUGGAUUCCUGUCAGCCUUGCUUCCUCAGUCCACCGUGAAGCAGCAGCUUUGCUGAAGGACUGACAUUCUGAGCCUUGGCCUACCCCACCACUUUCUUGUAUGUCUUUACUGGUGUCGUUUCACUUGUACUGUGUUUCCUACCCCACAAACUCUCCAUUUACUUUUGUUUUGCUUCUUUUCCCUGGUCUGUUUCUGCUCCUGAUAUUCCUUACAUUUUUCUGCCCAUCUUUGUGUCCCUGUAUUCUCUGGCUGGAACUUCCUUUUACAGAGACUCUUUGCCCUGGAUAGGUCCUGUAUCUGCCAUGUGUCAUAAUCAUCACUGUGAUAGAUAGUAAACUGUUUGUUCAUCAAUUUCAGUUAAAAGACAAUGGAGAAGGAGGUUGCCACAUAAACUAUGUAAGGCUAACUGCAAGGCUAACUAUAUUGCUACAUUGUGUAAGAUUAACCGCAAGCGCUCAACUAACCAAAUGUGGUAAAGCAAGAUAACAUUGUGUGGGGGUCAAGGAAGCAAGGAAAAAGGGAGUACAGAAGUACGAGGCGAGGAAUUUGUGACGUGAGGAAGACAAGGAGCCUUCAUCCCCACGACCACCAGGAGGCUGAAGAAGACAAUGAACGACCCCCUAGCAACCUAGCAAGGAGCGGCGCAGACGCAGAGUACACCGCUAAAGGAGACACGUAUACAGGAAGACGAAGGUGCACAGGGCCAGAGCAGUUUGUUGUUCCCAUAGACACCAAAGGGAAGAGGUGGUGGAGGUGCUGCUGGGACCAGAAGGCUGAAAACUUGAAGUGGACUGGUUGAAAGACUUCUUACUACAUCUGCAAGAUACCUUUGCUUCUUUGCAUACCCCCUAGCAAAUCCUUUGUACUCCUUGAAGCUAUUGUUAUUUGCCUUCAUUGUGAUAAAGCCUGUCUUUAGAUUUCACUCUCAAAGCUGUGGGUGAGGUUCUGUUCUCAGUACACAAUAUGUGUUCAGACAGUAUAUAAUCCCCUUGGCACCCUAGAACUGUCCAGUUUGUGGAAACCAUCAUGCUUUUUGUUUUUAGUGUAUAGCUCAGUUUAGCUGCUUUUGCUGUAUGAAGUUAUUUGUUCCUGUCCUACAGUCUGAAUGCAUUUACAUUACUAAUGCAUAAGAAUUUUCAUGAACCACAUGCUCUCUGGCAUUCAUUGUACAUGCCCCACAUUUGACUUGAAAGCCUUUUCACCUCUGAGGUGAAUCGUUGUAUGCUUGAGAGAAAAAUAUUACAUUGCUGCUGGUUAAAACCUCUGGGAAAAAAAUCCUGUGGAGAAGUUCAUGAGUGCUUUUAUUUGUAUAGGAAUAAAUGAUUUUAAAGUGUGA